GCGAGUGAAGCGGGAAGAGCUCAAAUUUGUAAUCUGGCACCUUCGGUGUCCGAGUUGUAAUCUCGAGAAGUGUUUUCCGCGCCAGACCGCAUACAAGUCUGUUGGAAUACAGCGUCAUAGUGGUGAGAACCCCGUAUAUGAUGCGGAUGCCUGGUGCUCUGUGAUACACUUUCGAAGAGUCGAGUUGUUUGGGAAUGCAGCUCAAAUUGGGUGGUAAAUUCCAUCUAAAGCUAAAUAUUGGCGAGAGACCGAUAGCGAACAAGUACCGUGAGGGAAAGAUGAAAAGCACUUUGGAAAGAGAGUUAACAGUACGUGAAAUUGUUGGAAGGGAAACGCUUGAAGUCAGACUUGCUAUUUGGAAUUCAGCCGCAAGGUGUACUUUUCAAUUUGCAGGCCAGCAUCAGUUUUCGGGGAUGGAAAAGGAUUAGGAGAAGGUAGCAGUUUCGGCUGUGUUAUAGCUCUUAAUUGGAUUCAUCCCUGGGGACUGAGGAACGCAGCUUCGGCUUAGGAUGCUGGUGGAAUGGCUUUAAACGACCC
rnacentral:rRNA from 1 species